rnacentral:rRNA from 1 species
CGGCGAGGUGAAGCGGCAAGAGCUCAAAUUUUGAAGCUGGCCCCUUCGGGGUCCGCAUUGUAAUUUGCAGAGGAUGCUUCGGGAGCGGCCCCCAUCUAAGUGCCCUGGAACGGGCCGUCAUAGAGGGUGAGAAUCCCGUCUGGGAUGGGGUGCCCGCGCCCGUGUGAAGCUCCUUCGACGAGUCGAGUUGUUUGGGAAUGCAGCUCUAAAUGGGUGGUAAAUUUCAUCUAAAGCUAAAUACUGGCCGGAGACCGAUAGCGCACAAGUAGAGUGAUCGAAAGAUGAAAAGCACUUUGAAAAGAGAGUUAAACAGCACGUGAAAUUGUUGAAAGGGAAGCGCUUGCGACCAGACUCGCUCGCGGGGUUCAGCCGGCCUUCGGGCCGGUGUACUUCCCCGCGGGCGGGCCAGCGUCGGUUUGGGCGGCCGGUCAAAGGCCCUCGGAAUGUAACGCCCCCCGGGGCGUCUUAUAGCCGAGGGUGCCAUGCGGCCAGCCCGGACCGAGGAACGCGCUUCGGCUCGGACGCUGGCAUAAUGGUCGUAAGCGAC